GCACAGGCGCCCGCCACCACGCCUGGCUAAUUUUUUUUUGUUUGUUUGUUUUUAGCAGAGACGGGGUUUCACCGUGUUAGCCAGGAUGGUCUCAAUCUCCUGACCUCGUGAUACGCCCGCCUCAGCCUCCUAAAGUGCUGGGAUUACAGGCGUAAGCCACCACAGCCUGCCACAAACUCACUUUUUGAAUUAAUUGUGAGAUGUUGGGCUUGAAAAUCAGGUUCAAUUUUUUUUUAAAGAGUUUUCUAUAGUUGUGAUUCUCUCAUUCAUAGGUCAAAAGGCCACACUGGCAAAGUAACAACACAGAAUUUUAUUACAGCUGCUAGAUAUGAAGACUCAGCAUAUGAUAUCGGUGACGUUAAUACCUUCCCAGGGAGAAGCGCUGUUCCUUCUGGCUGGGAAGUGCGAGCCGGUGGGGGGAGAGAGAGGAGUAGAGCAUUAUGUGGAGGUACUUCCCGGUUCCCUUGCGUCUGAGGGUCUUAUGCCAGAGGGGAUAGAAAGCCCAACAGAAACUCAAGAUAGAAGAAGGAGAAUCUGCGAGUGUCUGUCUCCUGUCAAGCUUCCCUAAUACAGCCCUGGUAGAACUUCAUCAACAGUGGAAGGCAUUUGCAAAGAGAUGUCAUCCUGGGGAUGAGAAGGAGGAAGACAGAGAAACGCAGAAAAGCCUAAGCAGGCACCACAAAGAGACCGAGCCCGUCUGAAAGAGGCUGCUCUAACCUGGUGGAAACUAUUUUAAGUUGCCACCAGACAUUACAUUCCAGAGCCUUGAGAAAAACUGAUGAAAAAAAAGUCAUGAAAAAAAGUCAUUCGCACAAGUGACACCAUGGUGUGAAGUCAAGGAGCACAGACUCUGGAGUCAGAGGGCUUGAGUCAACCUGAGCAUCUUCAGCUUUGACUGUGAAGACACAGCUUUGACUCUCUGUGUUGCAGAGAUGGUAGUGCCCACUCCAGUGACGCUUGUGAGGAUUAGUUGAGAUAAUAAAUACAAAAUGCUGAGCAUCAAACCUAGAGUAGAGAAAGGUCUCAAGUAAGUACUCAUUACCAGUAUUUGUUAUUUAAUUUCACUUUUGUCUACAUUCCCUUGUGUGAAAUGGUUUGGAUAAUUAAUUAAGGAAAACUUUCCCUCAGGGACAUUGCUGAUAUUGCAAUCUUCACUAGAUACACUUAUCUCUACCUCCGCCUCCACCUCCACCUUCACCUCCAUCUCUUCUCUGUCUCUAUCUCUAUCUUCCUGUUGUUUAUCUAUCUAAUUAUUUAUAAAUGAACUGGUGGGUUUGUUGUUGUUGCAGCCUGGCUAAUGUUAUCCAGACAUAUCUGAAACCUCAUGAGUGGCAUGGAAUGGCAGUCCCUGCUUGAACCAUUUACCUCCUUUCCUAACACCAACAAUCACACACACCUGACACUGACCUGAAGCCUCUGGCCUGUCCUCGGAGGCAAAGACUGGGUAGACAAGAUGCCUGGUUACCAGCAAUCUUCUGCAAUUUCCUCUGAGCUAUUGAGAUUGCUUUUCUCUUUGCUCAAAUUAUGUGAGAAACUUUUAAAAAAGAAUUUAAUGUGCUCUUUUGAUAUUUCAGGUGUUCAUUCAAAAGCCUAUGUUAUUCUCUGUCUCUCUGUCUCUUUUCCUAGUUGGGUAAUCAAAAUGGCACAAUCAGAAAUAUUUAUAUCUGCAACAGAAAAGAAGAAUAAAUUUAUUCAUGCACAAGUACAUUAUGUACAUAUAUAUGUUUGUGUAUACAUAUAUCUGUAUAAUUGAUAUAUUUGGGAGAAAUAAAAGGUUUCAUUAAGCACACAAGUUCUAGAGUUAGACCCUCUGUCGCAAAUUACUGUCCUGUCACUUAACUCCUGCCAGAACAAAGUGCAUACUUGAACAAAAUGCCUGCUCUGUAAAAAUGCCUUGAUCUUGAAUAAAAUGCCUGCUAGGUCAAAGCUUCUAUUUUCCCACCUAGAAAAUGGGAACAAUAAUAAGAAUCCUCACUUAAUAGAUAAUGGAAAAAGUUGCUUGCAGCACAGAGCCUGCUACAGACAAUGCCUUCAAUUAAUGCAAACUAUUAAUAUUAUGAAAAGUGAGUAUCUGUUUUCUGACAAUGUUUUCAAUAAUAUAAAUUCUGCCUUUGUUCACUUUAUUUGUUUGAAAAAACAAAUAAAAAACCAAACAAAAAAGUGUCUUAAAAGUGUCCAUUUGUCUUUCUUCUUGACUCCUAGUAACGCUUUCCUGUG
rnacentral:lncRNA from 1 species